GUUCUUUUUUAUUUAUUUUUUUAAUUCUGAUUUGUUAUAUAUGACAACGGAAUGUAUUACAAUUGAUAUUACAUAUAUAGAGCACAAUUUUUCAUAUCUCUGGUUGUAUACAAAAUAUAUUCACACCAUUUGUGUCUUCAUAUAUGUACUUUGGAUAAUCAUGUCCAUCACAUUCCACCAUCACUUCUAACCCCAUGACCCCUCCCUUCCCCUCUCACCCUUUGCCCUAUCUAGAGUUUGUCUGUUCCUCCCAUGCUCCCCCUCUCUAUCCCACUAUGAAACAGUUUGAUGCAGGUUGUUUUAAUGAAUCAUAAUAAUAGCCAUUAUGUAUCAGGUGGUUAGUAUGUGCCCAAUACUGUUAAAACACUUCAUGAACUAGAUUUCUUUUUAAAGUCGUGUUUGUUGAGAUAUAAUUUAUAUAUGAUACAAUUUACCCUAUUUAGUUUUAUAGUUAGAUGAAUUUUGAUAUCACAAAUGUAAAAAAAUGACAACAUAUGUAUGGAUAUAUAGUACUACCGUGAAGAUACAGAAAAUAUUACCUUGUUCCCUUUUACUUCUUUUUUUAAAAAAACAAAUAGAGAAAUUAAUUUUAAUAUAUUUUUAUUUAACCCAAUGGAUUACCAACAUAAUUUGCAAGGAAAAUAAUUAUUAGUAAGGUAUUUCAUGUUCAUUUUCUUUGUCUUAGUACUUCUUUGGAACCUAAUGUCUAUUUAGCACAUAGCACACCUCAAUUCAGACUAGAUACAUUUCAAAUACUUAGUAGCCUCAUGUAACCAAUGGCUGCUAUAUUGGCUCCUUUCUUCAUCUUUCACCUUUUGGUGAGACAUAUGCUGUAGGCUUCAUGAUAAGUCCCCUUGUUAUGUGGUUUCUUGUUGAGUUCCAUCAGAAAGGGACACCAAAGAGAUGAACUUAGAAUAUACAAAAGUAGAGCAAGGUGUUUUAUUCCUUCCUAUAAGGCUCUAUUAGACUGUGAGUUGGUUUCUACAUGCUUUUGGUGGGAAUAACUUCAGUUAGUUCACCUUCUCCUACAAGUUUUCCAUAAUGGCUCUCUCUUAUUUUACCUCCUACCUCUUCAAGUUUACAGAAGGAAAGGUGCUUCAUAAAAUUUGUUAGUUUCCCUCAACCUUGCCCUUACUUUUAUAAAUACCUUAU
rnacentral:lncRNA from 1 species